CUUGGUCAUUUAGAGGAAGUAAAAGUCGUAACAAGGUUUCCGUAGGUGAACCUGCGGAAGGAUCAUUCAUAAUAAGUGUUUUAUGGCACUUUUUAAAUCCAUAUCCACCUUGUGUGCAAUGUCAGUCGAUCUUCUUCAUGGAGAUCGACCAAACAUCAACCUUUAUCUUUUAACUCUUUGUCUGAAAAAUAUUAUGAAUAAACAAUUCAAAAUACAACUUUCAACAACGGAUCUCUUGGCUCUCGCAUCGAUGAAGAACGCAGCGAAAUGCGAUACGUAAUGUGAAUUGCAGAAUUCAGUGAAUCAUCGAAUCUUUGAACGCAUAUUGCGCUCUUUGGUAUUCCGAAGAGCAUGCUUGUUUGAGUAUCAGUAAACACCUCAAAGCUCUUGGAUUUUUUAAUCGAAAAGCUUUGGACUUGAGCAAUCCCAACACCAAUCUUUUUGAGAUCGGUGGCGGGUUGCUUGAAAUGCAGGUGCAGCUGGACAUUCUCCUGAGCUAAAAGCAUAUUCAUUUAGUCCCGUCAAACGGAUUAUUACUUUUGCUGCAGCUAACAUAAAGGGAGUUUGACCGUAUUGGCUGACUGAUGCAGGAUUUCACAAGGGUCGGCAACGAUUCUUGUUAAACUCGAUCUCAAAUCAAGUAAGACUACCCGCUGAACUUAAGCAUAUCAAUAAGCGGAGGA
rnacentral:rRNA from 1 species